GACGAACGCUGGCGGCGGGCCUAACACAUGCAAGUCGAGCGAGCGGCGGACGGGUGAGUAAUGUAUGGGGACUGCCCGAUAGAGGGGGAUAACUACUGGAAACGGUGGCUAAUACCGCAUACUAUCGGAUAACCCAUAUGGGAUUAGCUAGUUGGUGGGGUAACGGCUCACCAAGGCCACGAUGCAUAGCCGACCUGAGAGGGUGAUCGGCCACACUGGGACUGAGACACGGCCCAUACUCCUACGGAGGCAGCAGUGGGGAAUAUUGCACAAUGGGAGCAAGCCUGAUGCAACCAUGCCGCGUGUAUGAAGAAGGCCUUAGGGUUGUAAAGUACUUUCAGCGGGGAGGCGUUACCCGCAGAAGAAGCACCGGCUAACUCCGUGCCAGCAGCCGCGGUAAUAC
rnacentral:rRNA from 1 species